UUCGCAAUGCCCGAAAGGGUGACGAAGCGACGCCGCGUGUGGGAAGAAGGCCUUCGGGUUGUAAACCACUGUCGGGAGUUAAGAAAUGCAAGGGUGCUAAUAGUAUCCUUGCUUGACUAAGGCUCCGGAGGAAGCCACGGCUAACUCUGUGCCAGCAGCCGCGGUAAUACAGAGGCGGCAAGCGUUGUUCGGAAUUAUUGGGCGUAAAGAGCACGUAGGCGGCUAUGUAAGUCGGUUGUGAAAGCCUUCCGCUCAACGGAAGAACAGCAUCCGAUACUGCAUGGCUUGAGUGCGGGAGGGGAGAGUGGAACUUCUGGUGGAGCGGUGAAAUGCGUAGAUAUCAGAAGGAACGCCGGCGGUGAAAGCGGCUCUCUGGCCCAUAACUGACGCUGAGUGUGCGAAAGCUAGGGGAGCAAACGGGAUUAGAUACCCCGGUAGUCCUAGCCGUAAACGAUGGGCACUAAGUAGAGGGGUUUU
rnacentral:rRNA from 1 species